rnacentral:ncRNA from 2 species
CUCAAGCCAUACGGGAGUCCGGGGAACCGGGCUGAGAGGGUCCCUGCCGCCGGGGCCGACCGUGGAACCUGAUACGGGUCAUGCCGUUGGAGGGAAUGGAUGCGCCGGUUCG